rnacentral:rRNA from 1 species
AUUGAACGCUGGCGGCAGGCCUAACACAUGCAAGUCGAGCGCGCGGCGGGCGGGUGAGUAAUGUCUGGGAAACUGCCUGAUGGAGGGGGAUAACUACUGGAAACGGUAGCUAAUACAGCAUACCAUCAGAUGUGCCCCGAUGGGAUUAGAUAGUAGGUGGGGUAAAGGCUCACCUAGGCGACGAUCCCUAGCUGGUCUGAGAGGAUGACCAGCCACACUGGAACUGAGACACGGUCCAGACUCCUACGGGAGGCAGCAGUGGGGAAUAUUGGACAAUGGGGGAAAGCCUGAUGCAGCCAUGCCGCGUGUGUGAAGAAGGCCUUCGGGUUGUAAAGUACUUUCAGCGGGGAAGCGUUACCCGCAGAAUAAGCACCGGCUAACUCCGUGCCAGCAGCCGCGGUAAUUC